rfam:Dictyostelium purpureum unplaced genomic scaffold DICPTscaffold_21, whole genome shotgun sequence.
UCUUCUUAAAAGCCCUGGCUUUGAUCAUGUGUAGUAUCUGUUCUAGAAAGCUUAAUCUCUUUCUGAUGCCCAAGUGGUGUCAUUAUAUGAUUAACUAAUUUAUUAUAGAGGGCAAGAGAACAUUUAUAAUUAGUGCAUGUCAUUAAUUAGUUUUCUUCAUACAUUCGCUCUGUAUCGCACUAUUUCAGAGAUUAUAAGGUGUGCCUCUU